rnacentral:rRNA from 1 species
AGAGUUUGAUCCUGGCUCAGAAUGAACGCUGGCGGCAUGCCUAACACAUGCAAGUCGAACGAUGCUUUCGGGCAUAGUGGCGCACGGGUGCGUAACGCGUGGGAAUCUACCCUUGGGUUCGGAAUAACAGUUGGAAACGACUGCUAAUACCGGAUGACGACGUAAGUCCAAAGAUUUAUCGCCCGAGGAUGAGCCCGCGUAGGAUUAGCUAGUUGGUGUGGUAAAGGCGCACCAAGGCGACGAUCCUUAGCUGGUCUGAGAGGAUGAUCAGCCACACUGGGACUGAGACACGGCCCAGACUCCUACGGGAGGCAGCAGUGGGGAAUAUUGGACAAUGGGCGAAAGCCUGAUCCAGCAAUGCCGCGUGAGUGAUGAAGGCCUUAGGGUUGUAAAGCUCUUUUACCCGGGAUGAUAAUGACAGUACCGGGAGAAUAAGCUCCGGCUAACUCCGUGCCAGCAGCCGCGGUAAUACGGAGGGAGCUAGCGUUAUUCGGAAUUACUGGGCGUAAAACGCACGUAGGCGGCUUUGUAAGUUAGAGGUGAAAGCCCGGAGCUCAACUCCGGAAUUGCCUUGAUACUGCAUCGCUUGAAUCCAGGAGAGGUGAGUGGAAUUCCGAGUGUAGAGGUGAAUUCGUAGAUAUUCGGAAGAACACCAGUGGC